AUAUAUGUUGAUGUCCAUACGACCUUAACAUAAACACCUUUGAUAUAUGUUGUGUACAACAACAUAUAUCAAAGGUGUUUAUGUUAGGGUCGUAUGGACAU
rnacentral:sRNA from 1 species